AGUUAGUUCUGCUUUUCAACGCCAACAGAAGUUACCUGAGUUUUAUUAGGAUGGAACUGAACUUUGAAAAUAACAUCUAAUAUGUUAGACAGUGGGGUAAAAAAACGGGAUGAGAUAUUAGAAGUUGCAGAACCACCUUUAUUACAGCUUCUCAGACCUGAAGAGGAAAACAACGCGUCUACUUUGGCUUGGGGGAAGCUGGUUUUUCUGCUGCUGCAGCAGUCCUGUCUGCCAGGAGGUCACUCAGAUGGCAAGAGGUACUGAACUCUCUCAGUGCUCAACGGUUCCUCACUUUGGAUUUGGAAAUGGGUGACAAACUUAAAAAAGGCUUUGUGAAGGAAGUUGAGCAGAAUGCAUCUUUCUGGACGAGACGCCACAAAGGACUCAGCAACCAGUCAGCCAAUCAGAGGCAGAUUGGAGUAAAGUGCAAUUGCACUUAUAUUAAAUGGUUGUUAAUACACCAGAUUUUUUUCUACCACAUUCUUCAAACUCAAGAGAGACUGAAAUUACCAACAAUGGCAGAUAAAUGUUUUCACUUAGAGCUUCCGAAUGCUUUUUAUCAAAUAAAAACAAAACUUCUGCUGGAA